CCAGCCGCCAGCGGGCUGCUGCUGCUGUUGGUACUAUUGUGUUCGUUGUUUUAAUGGAAUCAGCUGUGGUUCCCUGCGGUUAAGCCGGCAAAGGCAGUAGGAGAGACCUGGGAAAACAUUAAGAUAAAUACCGUUUCAAAACCCUUGGCAGUUUCCAUAUUGCCUUGUUGGAGAUCGCCGUAAGGUAAGAGCAGUCGGAAAAGCUCUUUGCCCAGGGCGAGUGGCUUGUGGAGGGCCAGCGGGGUUUUCUCUCGGUGGGGACCGGUGCUGCCAUGCAGCCCCCAUUGCAGUGCAGAGGCCGGACACCAAACUGGUACUGUGCAAACCCUGUGCAAAUCCCUGCUGUGCUGGUUACGCAGCACUGUUUAUUGUUGGGGAGAAAAACCUCAUGACGAGCGUGCCUCACUCUGUCCGAGUAAGCUCUGAUUCAUAGCUGUGCAGCAUGCUGAGGUACUGCAGCUUUUGAGGUACUGUAGCUUUUAAGGUGCGUUCAAAGCGCAGACUUAUUGUGGAUCGCUUUUUCUGUUUGGGACUAUCUUGUUGCUUUGGGCUUGUCAUGGAUUGAGUUACCUGUGAGGGAUGGUAGGGAAAAUGAACAAACUUCCUGUGCGGGAGGAAAAGAGAAAGAUUUUUCCCGUAGAUGUAAAACAUCUUCAGCCUAGGAAGAUAUGGAAGAAUGACUAUAAAUCAUCAUGAUCAGCAGUCAAAGUUUCUUCUUAUUGAGAAGCCUAGGAAAAGUGCAUGACUGAUCAGAUUUGUCCCAAAGAAAGUGGGCGCUAAAUCUCUUACAAAAAGCUCUGAAAACAAACCCUGUCAGCAUUAUAGGUUUGCAACUAUUGACAAUCUCUAGUUAGAAAUAUUUUUCCUUGGUUAUAUUUGGAAGCCUUUUAGGAUCUUACCUCUUAUUGUUUGGGUUUGUAAUUUGAGUACAUCAAGAUAAGUCUUGCUCUCAUUUGUGCUUGCAGCUUUUCCCGUGUAGAUAUCUGCAAACUCAUUUCUCCCUUCCUUUCCCUUACUUAACAAUAUUUGUGUAAAAUAAAAAUAAAUGGAUGUGUAUUUUGUACCGUAUG
rnacentral:lncRNA from 1 species